GACAGAGGGUGCAAGCGUUAAUCGGAAUUACUGGGCGUAAAGGGCGCGUAGGCGGAUAGCGAAGUCAGGUGUGAAAUACCCAUGCUUAACGUGGGGGGGUCAUUUGAAACUGGUUAUCUAGAGUGUGUGAGAGGGAGGUGGAAUUUCCGGUGUAGCGGUGAAAUGCGUAGAGAUCGGAAGGAACACCAGAGGCGAAGGCGGCUUUCUGGCACAACACUGACGCUGAGGCGCGAAAGCGUGGGUAGCGAACAGG
rnacentral:misc_RNA from 1 species